GAGCUCCAGAGCCGGCCCAGCCGGGUCCC
rnacentral:piRNA from 1 species